GCCUACGGGGGGCAGCAGUGGGGAAUAUUGCACAAUGGGGGAAACCCUGAUGCAGCAACGCCGCGUGAGUGAAGAAGUAUUUCGGUAUGUAAAGCUCUAUCAGCAGGGAAGAAGAAAGACGGUACCUGACUAAGAAGCCCCGGCUAACUACGUGCCAGCAGCCGCGGUAAUACGUAGGGGGCAAGCGUUAUCCGGAUUUAUUGGGUUUAAAGGGUGCGUAAGCGGAAUGCCAAGUCAGCGGUAAAAUCGCGGGGCUCAACCUCGCUCCGCCGUUGAAACUGGCGUUCUUGAGUGGGCGAGAAGUA
rnacentral:rRNA from 1 species